UCCUUGGUGGUUUAAUGGUUAAGAAUCGGGCGUUGUCACUGCUGUAGCACAGGUUUGACCCCUGACCCAGGAA
rnacentral:tRNA from 1 species